UGCCAGCCGCCGCGGUAAUACGGAGGGGGUUAGCGUUGUUCGGAAUUACUGGGCGUAAAGCGCGCGUAGGCGGACUAUUAAGUCAGGGGUGAAAUCCCGGGGCUCAACCCCGGAACUGCCCUUGAUACUGGUAGUCUUGAGUUCGAGAGAGGUGAGUGGAAUUCCGAGUGUAGAGGUGAAAUUCGUAGAUAUUCGGAGGAACACCAGUGGCGUAGGCGGUCAACUGGACGGGUACAGACGCUGAGAUACGAAAGCGUGGGGAGCAAACAGGAUUAGAUA
rnacentral:rRNA from 1 species